UGACCUCGGAUCAGGUAGGACUACCCGCUGAACUUAAGCAUAUCAAUAAGCGGAGGAAAAGAAACCAACAGGGAUUGCCCCAGUAACGGCGAGUGAAGCGGCAACAGCUCAGAUUUGGAAUCUGGCCCCUAGGGCCCGAGUUGUAAUCUGGAGAGGAUGUUUCUGGCGCGGCGCCUUCCGAGUUCCCUGGAACGGGACGCCGGAGAGGGUGAGAGCCCCGUACGGUUGGACGCCUAGCCUUUGUGAAACUCCUUCGACGAGUCGAGUAGUUUGGGAAUGCUGCUCAAAAUGGGAGGUAAAUUUCUUCUAAAGCUAAAUACCGGCCAGAGACCGAUAGCGCACAAGUAGAGUGAUCGAAAGAUGAAAAGCACUUUGAAAAGAGGGUCAAACAGUACGUGAAAUUGUUGAAAGGGAAGCGCCCGUGGCCAGACUUGUACCCCGCGGACCAUCCGGCGCCCUCAGCGCCGGUGCACUCCGUGGGGCGCAGGCCAGCAUCGGUUUUCCUAGGGGGAUAAAGGCGGCGGGAACGUAGCUCCCUCGGGAGUGUUAUAGCCCGCCGUGCCAUGCCCCUGGGGGGACCGAGGACCGCGCUUCGGCAAGGAUGCUGGCGUAAUGGCCACCGGCGACCCGU
rnacentral:rRNA from 2 species